GUGGUCCUACGGGACGCAGCAGUGGGGAAUAUUGCACAAUGGGGGAAACCCUGAUGCAGCAACGCCGCGUGAGUGAAGAAGUCAUUCGUGAUGUGAAGCUCUAUCAGCAGGGAAGAAAAUGACGGUACCUGAGUAAGAAGCCCCGGCUAACUACGUGCCAGCAGCCGCGGUAAUACGUAGGGGGCAAGCGUUAUCCGGAUUUACUGGGCGUAAAGGGCGCGUAGGCGGUUUAAUAAGUCAGUGGUGAAAACUGAGGGCUCAACCCUCAGCCUGCCACUGAUACUGUUAGACUUGAGUAUGGAAGA
rnacentral:rRNA from 1 species